rnacentral:rRNA from 1 species
GCGCGAGUCAUCAGCUCGCGUUGACUACGUCCCUGCCCUUUGUACACACCGCCCGUCGCUCCUACCGAUUGAAUGGUCCGGUGAAGUGUUCGGAUCGCGGCGACGGGGGCGGUUCGCCGCCCCCGACGUCGCGAGAAGUCCAUUGAACCUUAUCAUUUAGAGGAAGGAGAAGUCGUAACAAGGUUUCCGUAGGUGAACCUGCGGAAGGAUCAUUG